rnacentral:rRNA from 1 species
GACGAACGCUGGCGGCGUGCUUAACACAUGCAAGUCGAACGGAAAGGCCCUGCUUUUGUGGGGUGCUCGAGUGGCGAACGGGUGAGUAACACGUGAGUAACCUGCCCUUGACUUUGGGAUAACUUCAGGAAACUGGGGCUAAUACCGGAUAGGAGCUCCUGCUGCAUGGUGGGGGUUGGAAAGUUUCGGCGGUUGGGGAUGGACUCGCGGCUUAUCAGCUUGUUGGUGGGGUAGUGGCUUACCAAGGCUUUGACGGGUAGCCGUCCUGAGAGGGUGACCGGCCACAUUGGGACUGAGAUACGGCCCAGACUCCUACGGGAGGCAGCAGUGGGGAAUAUUGCACAAUGGGCGGAAGCCUGAUGCAGCAACGCCGCGUGCGGGAUGAUGGCCUUCGGGUUGUAAACCGCUUUCGCCUGUGACGAAGCGUGAGUGACGGUAAUGGGUAAAGAAGCACCGGCUAACUACGUG